rnacentral:rRNA from 1 species
AGAGUUUGAUCCUGGCUCAGAAUGAACGUUGGCGGCGUGGAUUAGGCAUGCAAGUCGAACGAGUCUCUGGGGGGUAACUCCUAGAGGAAAGUGGCGAAAGGGGCAGUAAUGUAUGGGUAACCUACCUUGAGGUCUGGGAUAGCUAUUCUAACGGAUAGGUAAUACUGGACGGCCUAAGUUGUCGGCAUCGACGAUUUAGUAAAGGUUACGCCUCGAGAGGGGCCCAUAUGAUAUUAGCUAGUUGGUGGGGUAAUGGCCCACCAAGGCAACGAUGUCUAGCGGGUGUGAGAGCACGACCCGCGUCAUUGGCACUGAGACACUGGCCAAACUCCUACGGGAGGCUGCAGUCGAGGAUCUUCGGCAAUGGACGAAAGUCUGACCGAGCAACGCCGCGUGUGCGAUGAAGGCCUUCGGGUUGUAAAGCACUGUCGAGGGGAAACAAGCCGUAAGGUUGAGUGACCCCUGGAGGAAGCACGGGCUAAGUUCGUGCCAGCAGCCGCGGUAAGACGAACCGUGCAAACGUUAUUCGGAAUCACUGGGCUUAAAGGGCGCGUAGGCGGGUGAUCAAGUCAAUGGUGAAAUCCUCCAGCUUAACUGGAGAAGUGCCUUUGAUACUGAUUGUCUAGAGGGAGGUAGGGGCAUGUGGAACUUCAGGUGGAGCGGUGAAAUGCGUAGAUAUCUGAAGGAACGCCAGUGGCGAAAGCGAUGUGCUGGACCUCUUCUGACGCUGAGGCGCGAAAGCUAGGGGAUCAAACGGGAUUAGAUACCCUGGUAGUCC